rnacentral:rRNA from 1 species
UGGGGAAUAUUGGACAAUGGGCGAAAGCCUGAUCCAGCCAUGCCGCGUGAGUGACGAAGGCCUUAGGGUUGUAAAACUCUUUCGUCGGGGACGAUAAUGACGGUACCCGAAGAAGAAGCUCCGGCUAACUUCGUGCCAGCAGCCGCGGUAAUACGAAGGGGGCUAGCGUUGUUCGGAAUUACUGGGCGUAAAGCGCACGUAGGCGGAUUGAUAAGUUAGAGGUGAAAUCCCGGGGCUCAACCUCGGAACUGCCUUUGAUACUGUUAGUCUCGAGUCCGAUAGAGGUGAGUGGAAUUCCUAGUGUAGAGGUGAAAUUCGUAGAUAUUAGGAAGAACACCAGUGGCGAAGGCGGCUCACUGGAUCGGUACUGACGCUGAGGUGCGAAAGCGUGGGGAGCAAACAGGAUUAGAUACCCACGUAGUCCCUGAGCGGGCUGGCAAGGCGCAU